AUGGGCGUCGGCACGUUCCAGUACGUGGUGACGGUGAGCCUGGGCACGCCCGGCGUGUCGCAGACGAUGGAGGUGGACACGGGCAGCGACGUGUCGUGGGUGCAGUGCAAGCCCUGCGCCGCGCCGGCGUGCUACAGCCAGAGGGACCAGCUCUUCGACCCGGCCAAGUCGUCCACCUACUCCGCCGUGCCGUGCGGCGCGGGCGCGUGCUCGGACCUUGGGAUCUACCAGGCCGGCUGCUCGGGGACUCAGUGCGGGUACGUGGUCAGCUACGGCGACGGGUCCAACACCACCGGCGUGUACGGCUCCGACACGCUGGCGCUGACGCCGGGCAGCACGGUGGGCACGUUCCUCUUCGGCUGCGGUCACGCGCAGGCGGGGCUGUUCGCCGGCAUCGACGGGCUCCUCGCGCUCGGCCGGCAGGCCAUGUCGCUCAAGUCGCAGGCGUCGGGCGCGUACGGCGGGGUCUUCUCCUACUGCCUCCCUUCCAAGCCGAGCUCCGCGGGGUACCUGACGCUGGGCGGGCCGAGCAGCGCGUCGGGGUUCGCGACGACGGGGCUGCUGACGGCGUGGUCCGCGCCGACGUUCUACAUGGUGAUGCUCGCGGGCAUCAGCGUGGGCGGGCAGCCGGUGGCCGUCCCGGCGUCGGCGUUCGCGGGAGGGACGGUGGUGGACACGGGCACGGUGAUCACGCGGCUGCCG
rnacentral:rRNA from 1 species